rnacentral:rRNA from 1 species
GACGAACGCUGGCGGCGUGCUUAACACAUGCAAGUCGAGCGGAAAGGCCCUUCGGGGUACUCGAGCGGCGAACGGGUGAGUAACACGUGAGUAACCUGCCCCAGACUUUGGGAUAACCCUCGGAAACGGGGGCUAAUACCGGAUACGACACAGCUUCGCAUGGGGUCUGUGUGGAAAGUUUUUCGGCUUGGGAUGGGCUCGCGGCCUAUCAGCUCGUUGGUGGGGUGAUGGCCUAUCAAGGCGACGACGGGUAGCCGGCCUGGGAGGGCGACCGGGCACACUAGGCCUACGGCAGGGCCCAGACUCCUACGGGAGGCAGCAGUGGAGAAUAUUACACAAUGAGCGGAAGCCAGAUGCGGCGACGCCGGGUGAGGGAUGACGGCCUUCGGGUUGUAAACCUCUUUCAGCAGGGACGAGGCGUAAGUGACGGUACCUGCAGAAGAAGCGCCGGCCAACUACGUG